GGGAAGGUGGCUCAGUGGUAGAGUGCUUGCCUUGCAUGCAUGAGGCCCUGGGUUCGAUACCUCAGCCCCA
rnacentral:tRNA from 1 species